rnacentral:RNase_P_RNA from 1 species
CGAGACGGACGGGCGACCGCCGGGCGCUUUGGGCGCCGGGAGGAAAGUCCGGGCUCCAAAGAGCAGGGCGCUGGGUAACACCCAGUCGGGGCGACCCGAAGGAAAGUGCCACAGAAAUAACACCGCCGAUUUGGACCGGAUCUCCGGAGCCGGUUCGAAGGCAAGGGUGAAAUGGUGAGGUAAGAGCUCACCGGCGGCCGGGUGACCGGCCGGCCAGGCAAACCCCGCCCGGAGCAAGACCAAAUAGGAGGGCGUCAAGGCUGCUCGUCCAGCCCUCGGGUUAGCGGUCGCUGGAGGCGCCGGGAGACCGGCGUCGUAGACAGAUGGUCGCCAGGAGGCGCGAGCUUCCUACAGAACCCGGCUUACAGUCCGCUCUCGACUC